rnacentral:rRNA from 1 species
GACGAACGCUGGCGGCGUGCUUAACACAUGCAAGUCGAACGGAAAGGCCCUGCUUUUGUGGGGUGCUCGAGUGGCGAACGGGUGAGUAACACGUGAGUAACCUGCCCUUGACUUUGGGAUAACUUCAGGAAACUGGGGCUAAUACCGGAUAGGAGCUCCUGCUGCAUGGUGGGGGUUGGAAAGUUUCGGCGGUUGGGGAUGGACUCGCGGCUUAUCAGCUUGUUGGUGGGGUAGUGGCUUACCAAGGCUUUGACGGGUAGCCGGCCUGAGAGGGUGACCGGCCACCUGGGGCCUGCGAUACGGCCCAGACGCCUACGGGAGGCAGCAGUGGGGAAUAUGGCACAAUGGGCGGAAGCCUGAUGCAGCAACGCCGCGUGCGGGAUGACGGCCUUCGGGUUGUAAACCGCUUUCGCUUGUGACGAAGCGUGAGUGACGGUAAUGAGUAAAGAAGCACCGGCUAACUACGUG